rnacentral:lncRNA from 1 species
CUGUAUGUUUAUUGUUGUGUGUUAAUUGUUGCACUUCAGAGUUAUGUUGUUUCAUUGUUUUUGUUUACUGUUGCACUUCAGAGUUAUGUUGUUUUAUUGUUGCACUUCAGAGUUAUGUUGUUUUACUGUUACACUUCAGAGUUAUGUUGUUUCAUUGUUUUUGUUUACUGUUGCACUUCAGAGUUGUGUUGUUUUACUGUUGCACUUCAGAGUUAUGUUGUUUUACUGUUGCAUUUCAGAGUUAUGUUGUUUUACUGUUGCACUUCAGAGUUAUGUUGUUUCAUUGUUGCACUUCAGAGUUAUGUUGUUUUACUGUUGCACUUCAGAGUUAAGUUGUUUCAUUGUUUUUGUUUACUGUUGCACUUCAGAGUUAUGUUGUUUUAUUGUUGCACUUCAGAGUUAUGUUGUUUUACUGUUGCACUUCAGAGAUGGUUGUUUCAUUGUUUGUUGUUUACUGUUGCACUUCAGAGUUAUGUUGUUUUAUUGUUGCACUUCAGAGUUAUGUUGUUUUUUGUUUACUGUUGCACUUCAGAGUUAUGUUGUUUCAUUGUUUUUGUUUACUGUUGCACUUCAGAGUUGUGUUGUUUUACUGUUGCACUUCAGAGUUAUGUUGUUUUACUGUUGCAUUUCAGAGUUAUGUUGUUUUACUGUUGCACUUCAGAGUUAUGUUGUUUCAUUGUUUUUGUUUACUGUUGCACUUCAGAGUUGUGUUGUUUUACUGUUGCACUUCAGAGUUAUGUUGUUUACUGUUGCACUUCAGAGUUAUGUUGUUUUACUGUUGCACUUCAGAGUUAUGUUGUUUUACUGUUGUACUUCAGAGUUAUGUUGUUUUAUUGUUGCACUUCAGAGUUGUGUUGUUUUACUGUUGCACUUCAGAGUUAUGUUGUUUUACUGUUGCACUUCAGAGUUAUGUUGUUUUAUUGUUGCACUUCAGAG